AUGAAUGUAUUGGUCGUUGGAUCUGGCAACUCUGGAAUGGAAAUUGCUUAUGAUCUUGCGGCCCAUGGUGCCAAUACUACAGUCGUUAUACGAAGCCCGAUUCAUGUAAUGACAAAGGAACUAAUCCAGUUGGGGAUGACACUUGCUCGCCGCCUUCCACUAAAUCUAGUGGAUAACCUCCUUGUGAUGGCGGCAAAUUUAAUAUUUGGAGACCUAUCGAGGUAUGGUAUUAGAAGGCCAAAAAUGGGUCCAAUGACCCUCAAGUCAAAAACCGGCCGAUCCGCUGUUAUUGAUGUUGGCACUGUUGGGUUAAUCAAAAAAGGUAUCAUCAAAGUACAGGGGAGCAUUAGUAAGAUCAUGGGCGAUAUAGUUGAAUUUCAAUGCAGUAAAAAGAUAUCAUUUGACGUGAUUGUGUUUGCAACUGGAUACAAAAGCACAGCAAAUAUAUGGCUGAAGAAUGGUGAGAGCAUGUUAAAUGGCAAUGGACUACCCAUCAAAGAAUAUCCGAAUCAUUGGAAAGGUGAAAAUGGGCUCUACUGUGCUGGGUUAGGAAGGAGAGGAUUGGCUGGUAUUGCAGCAGAUGCCAAGAAUAUCGCCAAUGACAUCAAAUCAGUGAUAGGCGCUAUGUCCGGCUAA
rnacentral:rRNA from 1 species